UAAAGGGUUUGUUCCGUUAUCAGAGGGAGGGGAAGGACAGGAGAUGGUUGUCUGGGUGUGUUUAUUUUCUUUUAAAAUAUAAACUGAUUGGAGAUGUCCACAGGGACACAUAGGGCACUGUGAUUGUCAGCCUGUUGGACAGGCAGUCCGUGUGAUCUCUGUUCUGAGCCGCACACUGGUGGCAUUGGACAAAAUGGCGGCCAUCUUGACACGAGGAUCUGCAUGGCACAUGGGGCUCCCAGACAUUUUCAGGACUUCUUUCCCAUGAAAAGUGGAUGGGCUGCAGCACCUUGGAGUCAGGUUCCAGGGCCCUCCCGCAAGGUGCAGACUGCAUGAGAAAGAGAUUCCCCAGCUCAGGAACCAAAAGAGACACACCUAACCUGGUGAUGUCCCCACCAGCCGGUGACCCGUGGCCCCCAGCUCUUACUGUGAGGUUCCCAUGUACACGGCCCUGAGGAGGAUCCGAGUGCCGGCCGACCAUGGCCCAGGGCUUACGUAAGAGGAACUAGGGAAGUGAGGGGUACACAGGAGAUGUUCUGGAAGCAGGGAAGGAUGGCUGCACACGUUGGGUGAGCGUCCUGGCGGGCAGGAGGUAAGAGGAGCUGGAGCUGGAGCUGGAACUGGAAAGGGAAGCAGAAUUCAAUGAGCCAACCAGAGACGGGAGGGAGCUCCGGGCUUAGAAAGAGAGUGGCUGGACUACCGACAAGGUGCGCUUGGGAGAAAGUGAAUAUUCAGCAUGGCCGUGCUGGGGGGCCUGGGGUAGGGGGCCGUGGGAAAUAGAGCAACUGAAGGGGUUCCACAUCAACCUUUGCAUGUUCCUUAAGUCAGGCGAAGGGUUUGGGCUGCAUUCAGGGGGAAGCGUGGAAAAGUUUUGUUAAGGGG
rnacentral:lncRNA from 1 species